GGAUCCCUGGCGUAUGCGCCAGGCAGACAGUCCUCGAGCCGAUAAAUGUAAAACCGGGGGCGCCUCGCCGCUGUUGGUGUGCAGGUCCGGACAUUGACCGGAAAGCCUGAAACAGUGCAGGAGCCCCCCCUUGAACCGUCGGGUUCAAGGGCAGCGCUGUCAGCGGUACGCCGGGAAUCUU
rnacentral:other from 1 species